rnacentral:ribozyme from 13 species
ACAGGGAAAAACAGGAGCUUUACUCAUAUCAUCAUCCAUCUUUAUCAAUUGUUAUUUUUUUCUUGGCUUUCCAUUUUUUCACUUUCCAAAUUAUCACAAAAAA